ACAUUUUUUAUUGAACAAAGAAACAACACAAAUGGUUAAUAUAUGAAUAGUACAACUUUAUUGUCGUUAAAAAGUACAAUUUUAUUAAAAAAAAAAUUCACCAAAUAUAAAAUUUCAAACUCAUAUUAUAUACAAAAACUAAAACUAAUAUAAAAGAUAUUCCUUUAUAACUUAUUUUACAUUCUAAAUAUUAUUUAAAAAUAAAAAAAUAUAUGCGUGUGGAGAAUUUAAGUCCGGUAUUUUUAUAAAGUAGUAUUGACAAUGUUAGCCUCUUAUGUAGUUUUAUUUUUUGGUACAUUAGCGUAACAUUUCAUACGUACCUGUUUGAGCUUUAAAUAUGAUAUGCUCAAUGAUUUGAUCGAUAGUGUUUUUAAAUAUUAAACAUUCAUAUUAAACCCUAUCUUAUUUGUAUUUCCUACAGCAUUCCAUUGUCUCAGAGUGACGACGCUGGCAGUUAUUAGUAUAAGCUUGAUAGUAUACCUCUAUGUACUUGAUCGCAAGAGUUAGAUUCUUGAAGGAAACUUAAUAAUAUAGUUGGUUUAUAAGGAAUAAUAUAGUUGGUUUAUAUCUAAAAUAAUAUUUUGAUCCACCGUUAUUUUACAUUAUUAGACUCUAUGUAAUGACCCACCACUCCCACCAUCUCCACUUCUUUCUCCAACCCCACCACUUCCAACUUCUUCUCCACCAUCUCCACCUUCUUCCCCACCACCUCCAUCUUCUUUAAAAUUAAGAAAGAGAGAGAGAGAGAGAGAGAGAGAGAGAGAGAGAGAAAGAGAGAGAGAAGAAGAAGAAGAAGGGAGAAAGCUCACCUGAGCUCGUCGCCGGAGCCACCACACGCCAGGACGUCGUCAAGCUCGUCACCACCAUCAUCCGCAACCAAAGAUUUGGAGUCCAUUUGAGCAGCUGGAGUUCAUAGAUACCACUUCUUAUUGCUAAGGUGAGGGUCUAUUCCCGAACUCCUCUUAUUCGGCUUAGGACCUCGAAUAAGUAUAAUUUAUUUCUAAUGUGUUCCGUCUGUGUGAAAUCGAGUCUAUCAUUGCUUGUUUAGUUUUAGGUUCUUUGCAUAAACCGGAACUAGGGGGUUAGAGGAUUCAACAUUGAUUGUUUCACUUAAUGUAAAUUCUUAGCUAGGAUUGUUUUUGUUUGGAGACGGAUACAGAGUCGGACUGCUGUAUGCCGGAUUGUAUGGAGGUCACGGCCAACUUUAGUCGACCGGUUGAGCCGUAGACUGGAAGUGUCGAUAAAUCGUCUACGGGCGUGUGUUACCGAGCACUUUUUCGGUGUGUGUAUGAACCGAGCACCUUUUCGGUAGUGUUUUGGCCUGUUAGUGGGCGGCGAGUGUGCACCUCGCUAGGACCAUUGUUUGUUGCUUGAGUACUUUAGGUACUGUGUUUGACAUGCAUUAGAAUUAAAUUAUAUUUAUUCGGAGUGCUAUGUCCGGGUCCAUGGACUUCGGGGUGGCAUCCCAUACCUCACUGAGCGAUUCCCCUGUCGCUCACCCCUCACUCUUCCCCCUUUCAGGUGAGACAAACAAGUAUGUGAUAUUUGGACGGACUUGGUGCUACUGGACUUUUCUUUCAGAUUUUAUUUGGGCAUGGGUGAGAGUUGUCGGGUUUAUGGGCUUUUAUAUUACGGGAUAUUGUUGGUGGCCCGUCGUCCUUAGUGUCAGGGAGACGGGUAUCACAUUGUUGUAUGAUGACGCGUCGGGGGUGACACGCUGUCCUCCAUAUAGGAGGUGACGGGUGUCACAAUUUGGUAUCAGAGCGGGUUCCAUCCCGGUUCCGUCCCGGGAUGGCGGUCAGAGAUUCGGUUUUCAUCGGUUUUCAACUUAAAAAAAAAAAAAACUAUAUAUUUAUUUAUACAUUUCGAAAUUCUUUUAGCACCAUUCUGUCCAGUAAUUACUAACUCAAAUGUCUCUUUCUAUGACGAUGAGUAAAAUCAUCGUCAUUCGUCCUUCGACUAUCAAGGUUCUCGACAGAUGUUCAGCAGUUGCGUGAAGUUUAAGUUCGUCAGUUUUCUCGGGAGUUAUCAGUUUCUUCGGUCAUGAUUUCGAGGCUAUCCAGGAGUGGAUAUGUGACGUUUCUGCCACCAGCCCACUUCAAGCAAUCGUUCCACGAGUUUUGUUACUGGAGAUUAUGUGGUGUGUGGUAUGAGCCAUUGGUUGGCAUGUGUUAUUGUGUGUACGAGUAUAUUGACUAUUUUGGAGAUAUUUUUGUUUUGUGAACUCGUGGAGAUCGCUUUUGAAUUGGGGUGCAGCAGCUUGCGUUGUGUGGGUGUUGGAGUUACACUUUGGUAUGUUUACCAAUUUUGGCAGUGUUGAUCGUUUCAGAGAUGUGUCAGUUUGGACAACUGACAUAGGACAUUGGGAGCUAUUUAUAUCCAUCGCAGUGUACCAGUUAUGCUUGGAGGGCCGAUUUGUUCGGAUAUUCAUCAGAGAUGGAGCUACGUUUUUACGAUGUUAUCCUUGGGAUGGAUUGACUGUCACGGCAUCAAGUAGUGUUGGAUUGCCUGAGGGCAAGAGUUCCGAUUGCUGGAGCAGAUGGAAGUUGUUAGUGCAUGCAUGCUACAUACUGAGGAGUUAUGGGAUACAAGGAUAUAUAGAUUUUUGACUACCAUCUCGAUGGUUAAGGAUGAUGGACAACAUGAGCUGCAGGAUCUUCCGGUUAUUGCAGAGUAUGAGGAUAUAUUUGUGACCUUUGGAAAGGCCACCACAUGACACAUGAGAAACUCUUGCGAUUUGUUUGGAGCAAACAACACCAGUUUCACAAGUUUUAUACCGAUUAGCACCAACAGAGAUGACAAAGCUGAAAGAGCAUGUUGAAGAUUCAUCAGACAAGGGUUUUAUCAGACCGGAUACUUUACCGUGGGGAACAUCAUCAUUGUUGUUGUAAAGAAGAAAGGUGGGAGUUUCAAUUUUGUAUCGACUACAAAGGUCUGAACAAAGUGACCAUUAAAGAUAAGUAUCGCUUCCGCGCAUUGAUGAAUUAUUGGAUUAUUUACAGGAAGUUUAUAGUUCUUGAAGGUUGACAUGGCAUCAGAACACCAUCAGAUUACUAUAUUUGAAGAGUAUCUACUGAAUGUAAAUUUUUGUAUACAUUAUGGAUAUUAUGGGACGCAGUGAUACCAUUUGGGUCGACAAAGGCACUGUUGCAUUCAUGAAGAUAUGAAUGACGUUUUCAUGAACAUUUGGAUAGGUGUGCGAUUGUAUUCAUCGAUGACAUCCUGAUUUAUUUUGGAGAAGAAAGGAGAUUUGUGAGCAUUUCGCGGAUUGCGUUGGAUAAGCCUGGAGAGCAUCAGUUGUUCGCUAAGUUGAGGAAGUGUAGCUUCUGGCAGAGGAAUGUUGUAUUUUUGGCUGACAUGGUUUUGGAAGCAGAAUUUUGAUGGAUCCAAAGAAGAUUAAUACCGUUUCGGGAAGGUCGAAACCUAAGAGCGCUACAAAGAUCUGCCGUUCUUUUUGGGUUAAUAGUGUACUACUGGAAGUUCAUCAAGGGUUUCACCGGUAUAGUAAUGUUAAAGACGCGGUCUACAUGUAAAGACGUAAAGUGUGGCUGGAUAGAUUUUGUUCGAGGAGUUUCACUGAAUUGAAGCACAACUAAUGAAGACACCAGUUUUGGGUUCUACUGAGGCUGAGGCUUACUGUGAUGUGUCAGAUACUGGAUUGGAUUUAAAUUAAGGUAUGAGGAUUAAGUCAUUCAUAUGCAUCAUGCCAGAGAGGCUGUAGUGGUAUUUGCGUUAUAGUUUUGGAGAUCGUAAUUGUACGGGAAGGAAGUUCAGAUUCUCUGGGAUUAUUAGAAUGUGAAAUUUAUCUUCAUUUAUUAAAAACUUGUACUUGGAUAGUGCAGUUGGAUUGAGUUUGUAGCAGGCAGUUUUGCUAUGGAGGAUACACAAGCACAAGUUAGCAUUAUGGAUUGGUUGAACAGAUCGAGAUUGGGAGUAUUGGAUAUCAUACAUCUUUGAGCAGGAUAUACUUGUACUGAAACCGAGUUUGUGUGUUGGACGAUAAGUUGUUAAGAAAAGGAAUCUUACAACAAACAUAUCACUCGUGUUUCUCUACGCAUCGGGAAGACCAAAGGGUACAAAGAUAUGAAGAGUUAACUAUAAUUGGUGUAGUAUGAAGAUGUUUGUAAUUACAUUGCGUCGCAGUGCCAGACAUGUUAUAUGGCAAUGACAGAGGAUCAGUUAUCUAUCAUGUUAUUUUAAGCUUGCUUUUGCCGGAAUGGAAAUGAGGCAUGGUGAUUAUGGACAUUGUUAUUGGAUUUUAAAUCACCAUAUGUGGAAAGGAUGCCACAUGGGUAGUCAUGGAUAGACUUACCAAGUCAGCCCAUUUCCUAAGUAAUUAAGAAGAUAAUCAGGGCUAAUCAAUUGGAGCAAACCUACAUUAUUGAGUUUGGGAAGUUUCAUGGAUGUCAACAUUGUAUCGGAUUGGGAAUCGAAGUUCACAUCUACAUUUCAGAGAGCCUUUCGGAAGGCACUUGGGACAAAGAUCAUAUGAGUACAUCUUAUCACCCGUUGACAUAUUGUCAGACAGAGAGGACUACUCAGAACUUAAAUGAUAUGUUCAGAGAUUGCGUGGGAUGAAAUUUCGGAAAGCAUCUACCUUUACCAGAGUUUGCCUACAUCGACAACUAUCUUUUGAGUAUUGAGAAAAAAAAAAAAAAAAAAAAAUUUUACUAUACGAGGGUUAUUUAUGGUAGACCCUAUAGUAUACCACUUUGUUGGACCAAAGUGGGGUAGCAAUAUGAGUUAGAACUAUUAAUGGUUUAAGAGACGGUAGAGCAGAGGACAUGCUCAAGGAUUGGCUUUCGGAAGCCCAUGACGUCAGAGAAUUUAUGCAGCUAAGCACCGUAAGGAUUUGGAGCUACAUAUGAGCACCUAAUAUACCUGAAAAUAAGGACAUUUCAGGAGGGACCUAAGACUCAGAAGAUAAAGGAGCUUAAACCGAGACACAUGGAAUUGUAUCCUUCGCUGGAGUGGAUUGGAUUAAUUGCUUGCAGUUACUUUAUCAGCAGUAUAUCAGCCUUCUAGUACUUGGUUCAUAUGACAGCAUUGCAAAAGUUGAGAAGGCGCUAUAACUAUUUUGCAGUAGACAUCAAGUGAGUUCAUAAAGAUUUUAUGAACCUUAUCAUCUAUUGGAGAUUUUGGAUCAUCAUGAGAAGACAGUUCGGGGAAUAUCGACUGUGUUUGUCCGAGUUCAUUGGGAGGGAGAUAAGACCCAGGAGGAAACCUGAAAGGUCGAGCGAAGAUUAGUAUUCGAGGUUUUGCUAUGAUGACAUUGGGCACGUCAGCUUAUGACAUGAAUUCGGGGACGAAUUCCUUAUAAGUGGGGGAGAAUUGUAAUGACCCACCACUCCCACCAUCUCCACUUCUUUCUCCAACCCCACCACUUCCAACUUCUUCUCCACCAUCUCCACCUUCUUCCCCACCACCUCCAUCUUCUUUAAAAUUAAGAAAGAGAGAGAGAGAGAGAGAGAGAGAGAGAGAGAGAGAGA